UACGAAGGGGGCUAGCGUUGCUCGGAAUUACUGGGCGUAAAGCGCACGUAGGCGGCUUUCUAAGUCGGGGGUGAAAUCCUGGAGCUCAACUCCAGAACUGCCUUCGAUACUGGAGAGCUUGAGUCCGGGAGAGGUGGGUGGAACUGCGAGUGUAGAGGUGAAAUUCGUAGAUAUUCGCAAGAACACCAGUGGCGAAGGCGGCUCACUGGCCCGGUACUGACGCUGAGGUGCGAAAGCGUGGGGAGCAAACAGGG
rnacentral:rRNA from 1 species